rnacentral:rRNA from 1 species
CCUACGGGUGGCAGCAGUAGGGAAUAUUGCUCAAUGGGGGAAACCCUGAAGCAGCAACGCCGCGUGGAGGAUGAAGGUUUUAGGAUUGUAAACUCCUUUUGUUAGAGAAGAUUAUGACGGUAUCUAACGAAUAAGCACCGGCUAACUCCGUGCCAGCAGCCGCGGUAAUACGGAGGGUGCAAGCGUUACUCGGAAUCACUGGGCGUAAAGAGUGCGUAGGCGGGGUAAUAAGUCAGAUGUGAAAUCCUGUAGCUUAACUACAGAACUGCAUUUGAAACUGUUACUCUGGAGUGUGGGAGAGGUAGGUGGAAUUCUUGGUGUAGGGGUAAAAUCCGUAGAGAUCAAGAAGAAUACUCAUUGCGAAGGC